rnacentral:rRNA from 1 species
UGCUGCAGUUAAAAAGCUCGUAGUUGAAUAUCCGGCGUCUCUGACGUCUGCCCGACUCGGCUGUAGAUGUUGAGAAACUUUUACUGUUCGAUCAGGCGUUUACUGUGAACAAAUUAGAGUGCUCAAAACAGGCUUUUGCUUGAAUUUUUUAGCAUGGAAUAAUAAAAUACGACUUCGCUCAUUUUAUUGGUUCUUGAACGAAGUAAUGGUUAACAGGAACAGUUGGGGGCAUUCGUACUUAAAAGUCAGAGGUGAAAUUCUUAGAUUUUUUAAAGACGAACUAAUGCGAAGGCAUUUGCCGAGGAUGUUUUCAUUAAUCAAGAACGAAAGCGUUGGGAUCAAAAAGGAUCAGAUACCCUUGUAGUCAACGCCGUAAACGAUACUGACUAGGGAUUGGUGAGGCGAACCCUCAUCAGCACCUAAUGAGAAAUCAAAGUCUUUGAGUUCUGGGGAGAGUAUGGUCGCAAGGCUGAAACUUAAAGGAAUUGACGGAAAGAUACACAAGUCGUGGAUUCUGCGGCUUAAUUUGAUUCAACACGGGAAAACUUACGCAGGCAAAAAGCUAGUAGGAUUGACAGCUUGAUAGCACUUUCUUGAUUUGGCAGCGAGUGGUGCAUGGCCGUUCUUA